rnacentral:ribozyme from 14 species
UUUUUUUGUUUUUUGUUUUUUUUUUUUUUUUUUUUUUUGUUUGUUUGUUUGUUUGUUUGGCCCAGCUGUCCGGCAAGGGAUUCUUUGAGGGAGCUCAGAGAUGCGA